rnacentral:misc_RNA from 1 species
GAUCUCCUUGUCAAGCACAAAACAUGUUCAUACAUCAUUCUGCCCAUUCAUUGCAUAUGCGGUGGCGGCGCUGGUUGUACAUUGUAAUGUGCUCCAUGUGACGGUGGUGCACGUGCAUACUGCGAAACAAUAUCGACGCCAGCUCCUCCCUGAACCUGAUGCAUGCCAUAAGGGUCAGAGGGAUAUGAGCUCCCGCCGUAUCUUAU